rnacentral:rRNA from 1 species
AACGAACGCUGGCGGCAGGCUUAACACAUGCAAGUCGAGCGCCCCGCAAGGGGAGCGGCAGACGGGUGAGUAACGCGGGGGACCGUACCCUUUGCCACGGAAUAGCUCCGGGAAACUGGAAUUAAUACCGUAUGUGCCCUACGGGGGAAAGAUUUAUCGGCAAGGGGUCGGGCCGCGCUGGAUUAGCUGGUAGGUGGGGUAAUGGGCUACCAAGGCGACGAUGCAUAACUGGGCUGGGGGGAUGAUCAGCCACAUUGGGACUGAGACACGGCCGGAACUCCUACGGAAGGAAGAAAUGGGGAAUAUUGAACAAUGGGCGCGAGCCUGAGCCAGCCAUGCCGCGUGGGUGAUGAAAGCCUUAGGAUUGUAAAGCUCUUUCACCGGGGAAGAUAAUGACGGUAUCCGGAGAAGAAGCCCCGGCUAACUUCGUGCCAGCAGCCGCAGUAAUAC